CCGGAAGGGCGGAGGCUCGCUCCCGGUUCGUCCGGGGGAGGAAAGUCCGAACACCGCCGGGCGCGAUGCCGCGUAACCUGUGCCUUCGGGCACCGGAUACACGCGGGCGGCGUGGCCGCGAGGCCCGCCGACGGACAGUGCCACAGAAAACAAACCGCCCGGGCUCCUCGGAGACCGGGUAAGGGUGAAAAGGUGGGGUAAGAGCCCACCGCUCCUCGCGCAAGCGCGGAGGCACGGAAAACCCCAUCGGGUGCAAGGCCAAAUAGGGGAUCGAGAGCGUGGCCCACGCCACGCCCCGCCACGGCGGGGCCGAUCCCGGGUAAGGCCGCUCAGAGAAAUGAGCCUCUCCUCCGCCUCCGGGCGGGGCAGACAGAAUUCGGCUUACAGCCCUUCCGGAGUU
rnacentral:RNase_P_RNA from 1 species